rnacentral:rRNA from 1 species
ACCCGACUGCUAUCGGGGUGGGGCUAAGCCAUGCGAGUCAGCGCCCUCGGCCAUGAGAGGGCGCGGCGCACGGCUCAGUAACACGUGGCUAACCUACCCUCAGGACGGGGAUAACCUCGGGAAACUGGGGCAUAAACCCCCAUAGGUGAUGGGCUCUGGAAGGACCCAUCGCCGAAAGUGUGCCAAGAGGAUGCUCUUGGCACAGCCUUGGGAUGGGGCUGCGGCCGAUCAGGUAGUUGGUGGGGUAACGGCCCACCAAGCCUAUAACCGGUACGGGCCCUGAGAGGGGGAGCCCGGAGAUGGACUCUGAGACAAGAGUCCAGGCCCUACGGGGCGCAGCAGGCGCGAAACCUUCGCAAUGCGCGCAAGCGCGACGAGGCCACCCCGAGUGCCACCCUCGUGGUGGCUUUUGCCCAGUGUGAACAGCUGGGCGAAUAAGCGGGGGGCAAGACGGGUGUCAGCCGCCGCGGUAAUACCCGCUCCGCGAGUGGUGGGGACUUUUACUGGGCUUAAAGCGUCCGUAGCCGGCCCAGCGUGUUCUCUGUUAAAUCCGGCGGCCUAACCGCCGGGCUGCGGAGAAUACUGCUGGGCUUGGGGGUGGGAGAGGCCGACGGUACUCCCGGGGUAGGGGUAAAAUCCACUGAUCCCGGGAGGACCACCAGUGGCGAAGGCGGUCGGCCAGAACACGCCCGACGGUGAGGGACGAAAGCUGGGGGAGCGAUCGGGAUUAGAUACCCCGGUAGUCCCAGCCGUAAACGAUGCGGGCUAGGUGUCACGCCAGCUACGGGCUGGCGUGGUGCCGAAGGGAAACCAUUAAGCCCGCCGCCUGGGGAGUACGGCCGCAAGGCUGAAACUUAAAGGAAUUGGCGGGGGAGCACCACAAGGGGUGGACGUUGCGGCUU